ensembl:lncRNA LINC01499 long intergenic non-protein coding RNA 1499
AAGAAAUAGCCAAUUUGCCAAGCCUAGCUCAUGCGCCUACAGCGUUACUACAGAGCAUGAGGAAAGAAAAUAUUUGAACUUGCGUAUUUUUUAGUGGUAGGCUAUGUUGUUAUAAAGUCUCUCAUAUGGAGAGCACGCAAAAUAUGUCAACUUUGCACUAUAAUGUUAAAAGAAUACACAAUUCCAGAAGUCAUCUGUGAUAUGUCAUGCCAGGCACAUAGUAGGUACACAGUUUUUGGCUUCUAUAUUUAGGAAUGGAGCUCCAUGGGCUGGUUACCCCAUAACUGGGGUGUUAAAGUACCUGAGUUCACCAAGGAUGCUAAAAAGAUCGAAAGCAUGCAGUGUCUCUUGAUUCAUAAGAAGCAAAGAAAGCCAACUGCCUGCACUCAGCAAGGACCAGAGAGAGUUGUGGCUCACUAUCUGCAAAAGCUGCAGUUUUUGAUAUUCCAAUCCCCAGUGGGGAAUCUGCCAGAGUGAAGCCAAAGGCACAGGAAGCACAGCUGGAAUGGGGACAUAGGAACGCGGGGGCUCCCAUGAGUUGACCGGACAACUGAG